rnacentral:piRNA from 1 species
UAAACUGGCACAUUCAGCGAACAUAGCAUAG